UACGGAGGAUGCGAGCGUUAUCCGGAUUUAUUGGGUUUAAAGGGUGCGUAGGCGGAUCGUUAAGUCAGUGGUCAAAUUGAGGGGCUCAACCCCUUCCCGCCAUUGAAACUGGCGAUCUUGAGUGGAAGAGAAGUAUGCGGAAUGCGUGGUGUAGCGGUGAAAUGCAUAGAUAUCACGCGGAACCCCGAUUGCGAAGGCAGCAUGCCGGCUUCCGACUGACGCUGAAGCACGAAAGCGUGGGGAUCGAACAGG
rnacentral:rRNA from 1 species